rnacentral:rRNA from 1 species
GACGAACGCUGGCGGCGUGCCUAAUACAUGCCAGUUGAGCGCUGAAGGUUGGUACUUGUACCAACUGGAUGAGCAGCGAACGGGUGAGUAACGCGUGGGGAAUCUGCCUUUGAGCGGGGGACAACAUUUGGAAACGAAUGCUAAUACCGCAUAAAAACUUUAAACACAAGUUUUAAGUUUGAAAGAUGCAAUUGCAUCACUCAAAGAUGAUCCCGCGUUGUAUUAGCUAGUUGGUGAGGUAAAGGCUCACCAAGGCGAUGAUACAUAGCCGACCUGAGAGGGUGAUCGGCCACAUUGGGACUGAGACACCGCCCAAACUCCUACGGGAGGCAGCAGUAGGGAAUCUUCGGCCAUUGACGAAAGUCUGACCGAGCAACGCCGCGGGAGGUAAGAAGGUUUUCGGAUCGUAAAACUCUGUUGGUAGGGAAGAACGUUGGUGAGAGUGGAAAGCUCAUCAAGUGACGGUAACUACUCAGAAAGGGACGGCUAACUACGUG